GUUUUUAUAGUGUAAUAAAACACGUUACAUUUUCACUGUAAAAUUAAAGUUCCCACACUUUUAAAAACU
rnacentral:tRNA from 1 species